UUCUUUGCAAAUGAAAUACUUGAAUCGUAAAUUAAAUUCAUUUUUCAAGUGCACAUGUCAUUGUCAACAGUGUGUGGUGGGUAUUACCAAUCAUAAGAAGAAGGGGUCAAUAGCAGGAGGUACUGUAGUGGGACUUGGGUCAUUAGUUGUGGGUACUAUACUUGGACUUGGGGCAUUAGUUGCGGGUACUGUAGUUGUAUUUGGGGCAUUGGCCUCUGGAGCCUCUACUACUGGUGACGGGACCUCAGGUGGUGAUGGGUUGCUCGCAGGCUCUGCUUGAACGGUUUCCCCAUUAACUGUUGGAGUUCCAUCACUUGCUGAUGCAGGGGUAGGAUGUCCAUUAUCUACAACGGUUUCACCUGAUUCUGGUUUAGGCGGAGCAUCCUCUGGAACUGAUGUGGAGUCUGAGGUAGCUUCGGGCAGAGAUGGAUCGGGUACUGGUGCACCAGUGGCUUCAGGCUGUUGUGUCUGUGUAGCACUCUCUGGUACUGUUGUGGCAGUAGGAGGUGCUUCAAUUGCCAAUGGCUUGCCUGGCUGUUGUGAAUUCUGAGCAGCCGAACCUGGUUUUUUCUGGAUGGUGAUAGGAGGAGCAUUAAGAGAUGCCAUCCCAGGAGGUAAGAUUUCAAUAGGUGGCUUCUUCCCUGCAUCGGCCAAACUCGUAAGUUUAGGCUCCUCAAGAGAAGCAAGAAAUGCAGCUGUAGCAUCUGUCUUCUGUGAUGGAGUCGGCUCAAUCUCUCUCUGCAGCAUUUGGUUCCAGGACUGAACCAAGUUCCUCAAAGUUGGACGACCUUGUGCCUGCAAGUAACAAAGUCAGACUACAAGUACUAAAAUUGAGUGAUCAACUAGUUGUGUACAUAACUAAUCAUACAUGAGCAUGAAGCACAGCCUCCGCCAGCAUUCCAGUAUCCUGCCAUGCUUUUUCCAUUAGCACAUUGUCUCCCAAAACUUGCAUUCAACAUGUAAAAUUUUCAAACAGGAAAAGUUCAAAUAGAAAAGAAAACAACUCACAAGUGUCAUAUUUCACAAUCACAAUACAAGACACCUUAGUACAUCAAUAAUCUACAAAAAUCGGUAGAAUUACACUUCAGGAGUCUAGAUUUGUUACAAAAUAAUAUAUUAGACUUCCUACAUAUCCAGAAUGAUUUCUUUGCAAAUGAAAUACUUGAAUCGUAAAUUAAAUUCAUUUUUCAAGUGCACAUGUCAUUGUCAACAGUGUGUGGUGGGUAUUACCAAUCAUAAGAAGAAGGGGUCAAUAGCAGGAGGUACUGUAGUGGGACUUGGGUCAUUAGUUGUGGGUACUAUACUUGGACUUGGGGCAUUAGUUGCGGGUACUGUAGUUGUAUUUGGGGCAUUGGCCUCUGG
rnacentral:lncRNA from 1 species